UACGUAGGGUGCAAGCGUUGUCCGGAAUUAUUGGGCGUAAAGAGCUCGUAGGCGGUUCGUCGCGUCGGCUGUGAAAACCUGGAGCUCAACUCCGGGCCUGCAGUCGAUACGGGCGGACUUGAGUGUUGCAGGGGAGACUGGAAUUCCUGGUGUAGCGGUGAAAUGCGCAGAUAUCAGGAGGAACACCGGUGGCGAAGGCGGGUCUCUGGGCAACUACUGACGCUGAGGAGCGAAAGCGUGGGGAGCGAACAGG
rnacentral:rRNA from 1 species